GAUGAAGAACGCAGCGAAAUGCGAUACGUAAUGUGAAUUGCAAAUUCAGUGAAUCAUCGAGUCUUUGAACGCACAUUGCGCCCCCUGGUAUUCCGGGGGGCAUGCCUGUCCGAGCGUCAUUGCUGCCCUCAAGCACGGCUUGUGUGUUGGGCCCCGUCCUCCGAUUCCGGGGGACGGGCCCGAAAGGCAGCGGCGGCACCGCGUCUGGUCCUCGAGCGUAUGGGGCUUUGUCACCCGCUCUGUAGGCCCGGCCGGCGCUUGCCGAUCAACCCAAAUUUUUAUCCAGGUUGACCUCGGAUCAGGUAGGGAUACCCGCUGAACUUAAGCAUAUCAAUAAGCGGAGGA
rnacentral:misc_RNA from 1 species